rnacentral:rRNA from 1 species
GACGAACGCUGGCGGCGUGCUUAACACAUGCAAGUCGAACGGAAAGGCCCCUUCGGGGGUACUCGAGUGGCGAACAGGUGAGUAACACGUGAGUAACCUGCCCUUGACUUCGGGAUAACUUCAGGAAACUGGGGCUAAUACCGGAUAGGAAUCCUUGCUGCAUGGUGGGGGUUGGAAAGCUUCGGCGGUUUUGGAUGGACUCGCGGCUUAUCAGCUUGUUGGUGGGGUAGUGGCUUACCAAGGCUUUGACGGGUAGCCGGCCCGAGAGGGCGACCGGCCACAUUGGGACUGAGAUACGGCCCAGACUCCUACGGGAGGCAGCAGUGGGGAAUAUUGCACAAUGGGCGGAAGCCUGAUGCAGCAACGACGAGUGCGAGAUGACGGCCUUCGGGUUGUAAAACGAUUUCAGCAGGGGCGAAGCUUGUGGUGACGGUACCUGCAGAAGAAGCACCGGCUAACUACAUG